UACAGAGGGUGCAAGCGUUGUUCGGAAUUAUUGGGCGUAAAGGGCGCGUAGGCGGUGCGGUAAGUCCGCAGUGAAAUCUCUGGGCUCAACUCAGAGUCUGCUGUGGAAACUGCCGUGCUUGAGUGUGGGAGAGGUGAGUGGAAUUCCCGGUGUAGCGGUGAAAUGCGUAGAGACCCGGAGGAACACCAGUGGCGAAGGCGGCUUCCUGGUCUGCGACUGACGCUGUGGCGCGAAAGCUAGGGGAGCAAACGGG
rnacentral:rRNA from 1 species